GUAACAAGGUUUCCGUAGGUGAACCUGCGGAAGGAUCAUUACCUAGAGUUUGCGGGCUUUGCCUGCUAUCUCUUACCCAUGUCUUUUGAGUACUUACGUUUCCUCGGUGGGUUCGCCCGCCGAUUGGACAAUUUAAACCCUUUGCAGUUGCAAUCAGCGUCUGAAAAAAAUUAAUAAUUACAACUUUCAACAACGGAUCUCUUGGUUCUGGCAUCGAUGAAGAACGCAGCGAAAUGCGAUAAGUAGUGUGAAUUGCAGAAUUCAGUGAAUCAUCGAAUCUUUGAACGCACAUUGCGCCCCUUGGUAUUCCAUGGGGCAUGCCUGUUCGAGCGUCAUUUGUACCUUCAAGCUCUGCUUGGUGUUGGGUGUUUGUCUCGCCUUUGCGUGUAGACUCGCCUCAAAACAAUUGGCAGCCGGCGUAUUGAUUUCGGAGCGCAGUACAUCUCGCGCUUUGCACUCAUAACGACGACGUCCAAAAGUACAUUUUUACACUCUUGACCUCGGAUCAGGUAGGGAUACCCGCUGAACUUAAGCAUAUCA
rnacentral:misc_RNA from 1 species